AACGCACAUUGCGCCCCUUGGUAUUCCGAGGGGCAUGCCUGUUCGAGCGUCAUUAUAACCACUCAAGCCUCGGCUUGGUAUUGGGGUUCGCGAUCUCGCGGCCCUUAAAAUCAGUGGCGGUGCCGUCUGGCUCUAAGCGUAGUAAUUUCUCUCGCUAUAGGGCCUGGUGGUUACUUGCCAUUAACCCCCCCAUUUUCUUAGGUUGACCUCGGAUCAGGUAGGGAUACCCGCUGAACUUAA
rnacentral:misc_RNA from 1 species